UACGUAGGGUGCGAGCGUUGUCCGGAAUUAUUGGGCGUAAAGGGCUCGUAGGCGGUCUGUCGCGUCGGGAGUGAAAACUCAGGGCUUAACCCUGAGCCUGCUUCCGAUACGGGCAGACUAGAGGUAUGCAGGGGAGAACGGAAUUCCUGGUGUAGCGGUGGAAUGCGCAGAUAUCAGGAAGAACACCGGAGGCGAAGGCGGGUUGCUGGGCCGACACUGACGCUGAGGCGCGAAAGCCAGGGGAGCAAACGGG
rnacentral:rRNA from 1 species